ensembl:lncRNA
GUUAUUUCCUACGAGCAUAUCUGGCGAUUUAACUGAAAACAUCAGAAGAGCCAUUUUGGCGGUCUUUCAGCAGUAGUGCAAUUUUAGUGGCUGCAGUCUCCACAAUCACCAAAGCACUUGGAAUCCAGCAAUGCAUCUGGACCAACUACAUAGACCUACUACCUCCACUGGAAUAUCAUAGCGCUUGUAACCUGGCUGGUCAUCAAGUUGCUCUUUUAAAUAAUACUCAGCUUCAUUUUGGAUGCUGGUCUUCCUCCAAUCACACAGUCUGGUUACGCUCACUUCCCCGCUGCACUCCAUCUGCCUGCCUCCCUGCCACAGCUUCUGGAGCAGUACAUUUUGGAU